rnacentral:misc_RNA from 1 species
AAAAAAAAAAAAAAAAAAAUUUAGCAUCGAAUCAAAGUUAUCAUGCUCCACAGAAAGUGAAUUUCAGGAAUGUCAGUCAAAAGUGAGACAUUAUUACUAUUAGGGGAGUGUUUAUUAAAACCCAGAUUCAUAAUACUGCAAAAUUAACUUGCUUAAAGUUUAUCUGACGCAGUCAAGGAAAUCUAACUUUUGGAAUUUAAGUUUUCAAUGCAUAAUUAGGAAGUUUAGGUGUUUAUUAUUUAGGAAAUUUAAUCAGGAAGUAGUAUUUUAAUUAUUUAAGCAGUCUAUUGUUUAGAAUUUCCUAGUUAGAUGUAGGUGUUGGUGUUAUAUUCCUAGUUAAAUUGGUUUAACAUUUUUUUUUUUUGGGGCAUUCCUAAUCGUAAUAGUAGCACAAGUAAUAUCAUAUUGUAAAUACUUUGUCAUCUAGAUAUUUAAUUAGAGAGUUUAAUAUUAUUUAUAUUGACAUUUGAGAAUUAAUAGAAAAUUUAAG